AGAGACAGAGAGAGAGAGAAAAGAGGCGUUGUAGAGGAGAUUGUAUCAUCAUAUGUCAUAUAUUGUGUGCAGGUUUAUCACAUGGCACAGGAUUUGAGCAUUGUUCGAAACGGCUUUCAUUGAACAACAACUAAAUCAGUAACAGUAACUAAAAGUAAAUGGUGGGCUGGGAUCCAGUAUAUUAGACAAGUAGAACGCAUUUGUGCUUGAAUGAAUAAAUUCCACCUCAUUGGUGUCCUCCUGAGAGAGAGAGAGCGAGAGAGAGAGGCUGACCCUGAAAAACUCUUUGAGCUGAGGGCUAUUGUACAGUGCUGGGAUAUUGGUGGUGAAAAGCAGCAUGGCCUCAGCAGCCUUCAUCCUUUCCUGAAUGACCGCUUCAUCAAACCGCCC